GCAAAUUGAUUAAAAGCAGACUGGCCCUCCUCUUUCUCUCCUACAUGUACACAAGGAUGCAAAAGAGAGGGGAAUUACAUCAAGAAUUAGCUUUAAGAUGCACUCGUGUACAUAUUCGGUAUUACAUCUGUAUGUGCAAAUUUCUGUAGCACCACUACUCAAAAGCCAUGCAGUUGUGGGUGCAGGGUUCACUGUAUAUUGCUCCACAAUCUGUACCUUUUAGAUAUAAAUCAUAAGUCAACUAACCAUGUCAGGCUUGAACACAGCUU
rnacentral:misc_RNA from 1 species